GGCAGCAUGGUCUUAGCUUGCUAAGGCCGAUGGCGACCGGCGCACGGGUGAGUAACACGUAUCCAACCUGCCGUCUACUCUUGGACAGCCUUCUGAAAGGAAGAUUAAUACAAGAUGGCAUCAUGAGUCCGCAUGUUCACAUGAUUAAAGGUAUUCCGGUAGACGAUGGGGAUGCGUUCCAUUAGAUAGUAGGCGGGGUAACGGCCCACCUAGUCUUCGAUGGAUAGGGGUUCUGAGAGGAAGGUCCCCCACAUUGGAACUGAGACACGGUCCAAACUCCUACGGGAGGCAGCAGUGAGGAAUAUUGGUCAAUGGGCGAGAGCCUGAACCAGCCAAGUAGCGUGAAGGAUGACUGCCCUAUGGGUUGUAAACUUCUUUUAUAAAGGAAUAAAGUCGGGUAUGGAUACCCGUUUGCAUGUACUUUAUGAAUAAGGAUCGGCUAACUCCGUGCCAGCAGCCGCGGUAAUACGGAGGAUCCGAGCGUUAUCCGGAUUUAUUGGGUUUAAAGGGAGCGUAGAUGGAUGUUUAAGUCAGUUGUGAAAGUUUGCGGCUCAACCGUAAAAUUGCAGUUGAUACUGGAUAUCUUGAGUGCAGUUGAGGCAGGCGGAAUUCGUGGUGUAGCGGUGAAAUGCUUAGAUAUCACGAAGAACUCCGAUUGCGAAGGCAGCCUGCUAAGCUGCAACUGACAUUGAGGCUCGAAAGUGUGGGUAU
rnacentral:rRNA from 1 species